CCUACGGGAGGCUGCAGUGAGGAAUAUUGGUCAAUGGACGAGAGUCUGAACCAGCCAAGUAGCGUGAAGGAUGACUGCCCUAUGGGUUGUAAACUUCUUUUAUAUGGGAAUAAAAUGUUCCACGUGUGGGAUUUUGUAUGUACCAUAUGAAUAAGGAUCGGCUAACUCCGUGCCAGCAGCCGCGGUAAUACGGAGGAGCCGAGCGUUAUCCGGAUUUAGUGGGGUUAAAGGGAGCGUAGGUGGAUUGUUAAGUCAGUUGUGAAAGUUUGCGGCGCAACCGUAAAAUUGCAGUUGAAACUGGCAGUCUUGAGUACAGUAGAGGUGGGCGGAAUUCGUGGUGUAGCGGUGAAAUGCUUAGAUAUCACGAAGAACUCCGAUUGCGAAGGCAGCUCACUGGACUGCAACUGACACUGAGGCUCGAAAGUGUGGGUAUCAAACAGGAUUAGAUACCCUUGUAGUC
rnacentral:rRNA from 1 species